UUUCCGGCGGCCUCCUGAGAAAUGUUUGCAAUUGUAAGGUGUCUCUCUCACCCAGGUUUACCCAGAUUUACAAACUGACGACAAACAACCAUAGCAGAAGUAUGUCCAGAUUAUUUCACAUAUAUCACAAAAUCCUGCAAAGGGUCUGUCCCUAUUUGGACCACCUCCCAUCACGCCACACAGGAUGUGAAUGUCUAUGUGCUUCUCCAUACCUGCAUUGAUCUCUGGGUCCAUUGCCAAUUAUAAACCUCCAAGGGCAAUAGCCAUGAGGUGAUGUACUGUCAUGCAUCACUUAAUAACCAGGAUACAUUCUGAGAAAUUCGUCGUUAGGCAAUUUUGUCAUUGCACGAACCUCACAGAGUGUACUUACACUAACCUAGAUAGUAGCAUCCAGUAAACACCUGGGCUAUAUGGUCCAGCCUAUUGCUCCUAGGCUACAAACCUGUAUAGCAUGUUACUGUACUGAAUAUGUAGGCACUUGUAACACAAUGGUGUUUCUGUAUCUAAACAUAUCUAAACAUAGGAGAGGUAAUGCAUUGUGCUACGGCAUUACAAGGGCUAUGACAGACACUAGGCAAG
rnacentral:sRNA from 1 species